UACGGAGGGUGCAAGCGUUAUCCGGAUUCACUGGGUUUAAAGGGUGCGUAGGCGGGUAAGUAAGUCGGACGUGAAAUCCCCAGGCUUAACUUGGGAACUGCGUCCGAUACUGGAUGGCUUGAAUCCGGGAGAGGGAUGCGGAAUUCCAGGUGUAGCGGUGAAAUGCGUAGAUAUCUGGAGGAACACCGGUGGCGAAGGCGGCAUCCUGGACCGGUAUUGACGCUGAGUGAGCGAAAGCCAGGGGAGCAAACGGG
rnacentral:rRNA from 1 species